UCCCAGACUCCUACGGGAGGCAGCAGUGGGGAAUAUUGCACAAUGGGCGAAAGCCUGAUGCAGCAACGCCGCGUGAAGGAAGAAGGCCUUCGGGUCGUAAACUUCUGUCCUUGGGGAAGAAGAACUGACGGUACCCAAGGAGGAAGCCCCGGCUAACUACGUGCCAGCAGCCGCGGUAAUACGUAGGGGGCAAGCGUUAUCCGGAUUUACUGGGUGUAAAGGGCGUGUAGGCGGGAGAGCAAGUCAGACGUGAAAUUCCAGGGCUCAACCCUGGAACUGCGUUUGAAACUGUUCUUCUUGAGUGAUGGAGAGGCAGGCGGAAUUCCGUGUGUAGCGGUGAAAUGCGUAGAUAUACGGAGGAACACCAGUGGCGAAGGCGGCCUGCUGGACAUUAACUGACGCUGAGGCGCGAAAGCGUGGGGAGCAAACAGGAUUAGAUACCCUCGUAAGU
rnacentral:rRNA from 1 species